ACACGUUGAUUCUAGAGUUUUGAUCCUGGCUCAGAUUGAACGCUGGCGGCAGGCCUAACACAUGCAAGUCGAGCGGAUGACGGGAGCUUGCUCCUUGAUUCAGCGGCGGACGGGUGAGUAAUGCCUGGAAUCUGCCUGGUAGUGGGGGACAACGUUUCGAAAGGAACGCUAAUACCGCAUACGUCCUACGGGAGAAAGCAGGGGACCUUCGGGCCUUGCGCUAUCAGAUGAGCCUAGGUCGGAUUAGCUAGUUGGUGGGGUAAUGGCUCACCAAGGCGACGAUCCGUAACUGGUCUGAGAGGAUGAUCAGUCACACUGGAACUGAGACACGGUCCAG
rnacentral:rRNA from 1 species